GUUGAACGCUGGCGGCAUGCCUUACACAUGCAAGUCGAACGGUCACACGUUAAGCUUGCUCCUCUCACGUUAGCGGCGGACGUAUCAGUACCACCUCGAUCACCUACCUUUACUACUCGGAUAACUUCCUAAUACCGCAUCUGAUCCCGGGUUAUAUAUUGAACCUCACAGUUCCUUACUCAAUUACGGCUUUGCUUUCCCUUAUAGAUGGAUCCGCGCCUCAUUAGCUAGUUGGUAAGGUAACGGUUUACCAAGGCAACGAUGCGUAGCCGACCUGAGAGGGUGAUCGGCCACACUGGAACUGAGACACGGUCCAGACUCCUACGGGAGGCAGCAGUAGGGAAUCUUCGACAAUGGGCGAAAGCCUGACGGAGCAACGCCGCGUGAGUGAAGAAGGUCUUCGGAUCGUAAAACGCUGUUAUUAGGGAAGAACAGAUGUGGAAGAAAAUAUGCAAGUCAUGACGGUACCUGAAGAGAAAGCAACGGCUAACUACGUG
rnacentral:rRNA from 1 species